UACGUAGGGGGCAAGCGUUGUCCGGAAUCAUUGGGCGUAAAGAGCGUGUAGGUGGCCCGGUCAGUCCGCCGUGAAAGUCCAGGGCUCAACCCUGGAAUGCCGGUGGAUACUGCCGGGCUGGAGUCCGGAAGAGGCGAGUGGAAUUCCUGGUGUAGCGGUGAAAUGCGUAGAUAUCGGGAGGAACACCAGUGGCGAAGGCGACUUCCUGGCCUGUUCUUGACGCUGAGGCGCGAAAGCUAGGGGAGCAAACGGG
rnacentral:rRNA from 1 species